CGUAGGCGCAAGCGUUGUCCGGAAUUAUUGGCGUAAGAGCUUGUAGGUGGUUGUCGCGUCUGCCGUGAAACCCGAGGCUCAACCUCGGCGUGCGGUGGUACGGCAGGCUAGAGUGUGGUAGGGAGACUGGAACUCCUGGUGUAGCGGUGAAUGCGCAGAUAUCAGGAAGAACACCGAUGGCGAAGGCAGGUCUCUGGGCCAUUACUGACACUGAGAAGCGAAAGCAUGGGUAGCGAACAGGAUU
rnacentral:rRNA from 1 species